CCCGACCGAAAGUAGGGUGGGGAGAGUGAGUCAUCGGCUCCAGUCAGCCGCUAAAUGAUUCUUCCGGGGCGAGGUCUGGGGUCCUGGGACUGGGAGCUGGUUCUGACAGGCCAGGGUCAGGCCUGGUGUCCCCUGAGAAAGACGUUCCUCCACCAACCCUUUAGCAUUCCAGGGAGUGUCUCGAGAGUGCCAGGCCAGUUCCCCUCUCUCUGGUCACCAUAGGCCCCAGAUGUUUCUAGGGUCCUAGGAAUCAGGAGAGACACUAUGUACCUACUACGUUUCAAGCACUGACCCAGGUGCUAGGGCUGCAACAGAUAAUUAAGGGCUCGGCGGGCAGAGCGAGAGGUGGCAGGGACACCGAGCGCCACCCGACAGUAGGACGGCGGGGUCCGGCUGGACAAAGGCUCGGAGUGUGGAAGCGCGAGCCCUGCAGAAAGAGCCAAGCCCGGUGCUGGACAAUGAAGCAGUGAAGUGGGAGAUGGCGUGCAGGCUCCUUGCCGUCAAGAGGCCAGUGAUUCCUGGAACAGAAGAAGAAAGGAGUGAAAACGGGCGUAGAGGCAAUGGAAGAAUGUUCCUGUACACGCACCCGGAGGCUUUUGCAGGAGGCGGCUGUUGGAGAACCCGGAAAACAAGCCAAGAAACAAGAGAGAGGAAGAAGACCACGCCUCGCCUGGCGGAUUCCUAAUGGCCCAGGAGACCUGAGGC